UAUAUAUAUAUAUAUAUAUAUAUAUAUAUAUAUAUAUAUAUAUAUAUAUAUAUAUAAUAAUAAUAAUGUCAUGUUGUAAUAAAGUUAUCUGGCUGCAGCAUCUUUAAGUCAAGCGGCACACUCAUUUUGACUGUCAUUUUAACAUGUGAACCAAAAUUACUGAAGAUGAAUUAAGUAUUUAUCCAACUUACUGAACAAACGUCAGUACUAAACUGCAUUUAAUCAUUAAUAUUUCGUGCAAGAUAUCAAAUUCAACAACUUAUACUUACUCUUGGUGGAACGCUGACGUUAGCUCCUGCGAGUAACCCCAGAGUGCAGUCUGGACGAUGGGGCGGGGCGACACUUCGAGGCGGAGCGACACGUGUCGCCCCGCCCAUAUUUGUUUUCCCCGCCUUUGACAUUUUCCUCCGAGCCAGCAGGGGGCAGUUUGCGUUGAAACAAACAGAACGGUGGCAACUACAGCAGCAGAGUAAUAACGCUAUUCCGUUGAUUGCUUGAGGUGAGUAAAAGUGGUUGUGUAAAUAUCUUAUAAUAUGAAAUGCGAUGUUCGAUCAUUUAUUUAUCCAUGGUACGUUCAAUUUGAAUAAUUAUUGUUAAUAAUUGUUAUAAAUUGCUCAUUUUAUUGUUCUUUGUGGAUUGUAACAGUACACUCUGUACAUGGCUUUAGUUCAUAGGUUCGAUUUUACAGAGGUAUGGCAUCACAUUUGUCAAGUUAUUUGAACAGACAUGCAUGAUUUUUGUGUGUAUAUUAUUAUUAUUAUUAUUUUUCAGGAUGACAUGAUCAGGAGGUGGUGGUGUUCUGUUCUCCUGGACAGCUUUACUCCGCAAAUAGCUCAACCACUGAGGGGAGGAACUUCACCAUUCACCAUGUCUUCAGGCAGAGUCCAGCAAAGCAGCUUCCACUGGAAAUCCUCAGGGAAGUUAUUUUGUCAGCGGGUGACUCUGCAUAUUUGACACUUUCUCUGGUUUGCAGAUGGUUUAGGGUUGUGCUCCGAAGUUUUUCGGAAAGCGGCACCGUUUGCCUGGCUAGAGAGUAAGAUUUCCCCGUUUAAUGCUCAUUCUCCAAUUGAAUUUUGUAGUAGAAGGCUGUUAAACUUUUUUUGUAUUAUUAUUAUCUUUCAUGUAUUUUGUCUUUACACUAUAAGUUGUGGCCAACUGGAAGAAUUGUCCUCCUGUCUCCUGACCGGAACGAGUUCAGAUGGAUGUACAGCAUCAGGGAACGCUUGCAGUGCAGAGCCUUUUUCAAGUUUAACCCACCAGGGUACAGAGAAGAGGCCGGCGUGGUGAUCUUCUGGGCUUUUGUUUACACAGGAUUUUGUUCCAAGGACUGUUUGUUUGUUUUUUUUGUUUUUUUUUUGCGGCAUGAAACACAUUUGUGUGUUAAGUUCAUUGAAGGGAAAUAGAGAAUGGGCUGAGAUCAACUGGUUUUGAUUAUUAAUUGAUGUAAUUUAAAGUUAAACUUUGCACUGUAUAAUGUUUUAAUAAAAAAGCUAUGGAAAACACGUGCAUGACAACAGGUUUCAGUCAUUUACAUCAGUCUAUCAUUCUUUAAGGUUUCUCAUAUUUGAUGAUAACAUGAUUUGCUAUGCAUUGCUCAUAAUGGAUUCUUAGUUUAGUUGUGACAGGAUUGUGAGGAUUAAUGAGGUUUUCAGUAGUGCAGUUCAGAAAACAAAUAACAGAAAGUAACAAGUGUUUUUGGGCAAGUUUUUUAGAACCUGUAUAGUUCCUUCCUUGCAAAAAGUAACCAUGGAUUUAUUGUAGUAAAAAUAUUUGUUGGCACAUUAAUUACUGUGAGCUGUAAUUAUAAAAACACCAUAGUUUUACUAUAGUUACUGUAGCAGAACCAUGGUAAAUUUUCGCAGAGGCCAAGGGAAUGUUCAGAAUAUUAUUGGUGACGUUCAGAGACUGGUGACAAUUUGUUACACACACGACACACACACACACACACACACACACACAUAUAUAUAUAUAUAUAUAUAUAUAUAUAUAUAUAUAUAUAUAUACACACACACACACACACACACACGUAUGUAUGUAUAUAUUAUUUGAAUAUAUAAAUCAAGGUACUCCAUGACUAUCUACAUAACCAUACUUCGCAUAAUAUUGCCGUGUCAUUUUCAAACCAGCGAGUAAUGCCGAGGUAGCGUCUACACUACAGCCAUUGAGGGAGUAGACCAUUUAUUUUUAUUCUGUUCGUCGUAAUCCAAAACUCUUUGUAUUUAUACGGGAUGUUGUGGAAAUGCAACAAUAAAUGCAAAAACACAACAUGUAUAUUCACUUUUUAAUUUAUAUUAAAAGUUUAUUCAUCUUAGUGUCUACUUCCGCAUUCCAAUCGUGCUAAUAGCGUCAUAAUUCACUAUACCAAUAAGCUGUAAAAUCGUCACUCAUCUGUACACCAAUAAGCUCAUCUUAAUCAUAAACCAAUAACCGCUGAGGUGGGCGGGGCGACACGUGUCGCUCCGCCCCAACGUGUCGCCCCGCCCCAUCGUCCAGACUGCACUCUGGGAUACUUGGCUCCUGCUGCCUUGACGUUCGCCAUCUUUUCAUACAUUUCGCGCCAGUGUAACGGACUGUGGCCCAAUUGUGAUUGGCUGAAAUU
rnacentral:lncRNA from 1 species